rnacentral:rRNA from 1 species
UGGGGAAUUUUCCGCAAUGGGCGAAAGCCUGACGGAGCAAUACCGCGUGAGGGAUGACGGCCUAUGGGUUGUAAACCUCUUUUUUCAGGGAGGAAUCAAAUGACGUGUACCUGAAGAAUAAGUCAUCGGCUAACUCCGUGCCAGCAGCCGCGGUAAGACGGAGGAUGCAAGUGUUAUCCGGAAUCACUGGGCGUAAAGCGUCUGUAGGUGGUCCAAUAAGUCAACUGUUAAAUCUUGAGGCUCAACCUCAAAACCGCAGUCGAAACUAUUAGACUAGAGUAUAGUAGGGGUAAAGGGAAUUUCCAGUGGAGCGGUGAAAUGCGUAGAGAUUGGAAAGAACGCCGAUGGGCGAAGGCACUUUACUGGGCUAUUACUGACACUCAGAGACGAAAGCUAGGGUAGCAAAUGGGAUUAGAUACCCCAGUAGUCCUAGCCGUAAACAAUGGAUACUAGAUGUUGGACAGAUCGACCUGUGCAGUAUCAAAGCUAACGCGUUAAG